ACACCUAUAGCUGUUGGUAUGAAGCUAUCGAGCCAAGGAGACCAUGAACCUUUUUGUGAAUCUAUCUACAGAAGUCUAGUUGGCUGUUUGUUGUAUUUGACAACUAUUAGGCUACACUGACCAUGGAAUACACUACUGUAAUCCGCAACAUUUACAAGCAAGCAAAAGAGUGCUCAGGUACAUUAAAGGUACCUUGAACCAUGGAAUACAAUUUUGGAAAACUGGAAACUUGAAACUCAUAGGCUACACUGACAAUGACUGGGCUAGUUCAAAAGAUGAUAUGAAAAGCACUUCUGGCUAUGCAUUUACACUUGGCUCAGCUCUGUUUUGUUGGAGUUCGAGGAAGCAAUUAAUAGUGGAUCAGUCAAUAGUAGAAGCUGAGUAUGUUGCAGCUGCUAGUGCAGUUAAUCAAACCAUUUGGCUGAGAAAGAUACUAGCUGAUUUGAACCUACAACAAAAGGAAGCAACAGAGAUCUACUGUGAUAACAAAUCUGCUAUUGCAAUUGCAAAGAAUCCUAUUUUCCAUGGUAGAACGAAGCAUUUCAUCAUCAAGCUACAUGUGAUAAGGGAAAUGGAACAAGCUCGAGAGGUGGAGCUGAUUCAUUGCAAUUCAUAAGAAUAGGUUGCUGAUAUCUUCACAAAAGCCCUUUGUGUGUCAAGGUUCAACAAUUUAAGAAACCAAAUGGGAGGUAGCAGCAUGGAAGCUAAGGAGGAGUGUUGAAGGUAGCCUCCAUGCAGUAGCAAAGAUGGCCACGAUGGUCACAUGCAGAAAGGCAACAGCUAAAGCCCAAUGAUGCUGCCAUUUGUUUUGAGUUUAUUUUGUUACUCUAAGUGAUUUAUCUUGUAUUGUAGUUCAUUUUGAACUAAGUUUAUUUUAUGGUUGAUGUUGAUAUAGCUGUUAACCAGCUUUGUUUAUGUGUGUAAGCUUAAUUUUUCAAGUUUCAAUGUAUUAGUUGAAGUAGGUGAUGUUUAGGUGAACUUACUUUGAUUUUGACAAGCAAAGGCUCGAUUUAUGUAUUGGCCUUAUGCCAUUGUUCAUGCUAAUGAAAAAUCAUUUUUUGAACAUAUGCUCCAUUGUUCUUAGCUUUCAAUUUUUCUGUUCUGUUUUCAUCAUCAAAUUCGGCUUGUUUGUACAGCAAGUAUCGAGCCUUGCUACACAAUCCAAAGCUGGACCAAGCUUCUUAUUUCUUCACAGCACCAACAAAGAGAUAUUUCAAAUUAUUGCAGCCUGUAACUUUUACUUCCCUUAGGCAUUGAAAGCUUAUGUUUGAUACUUGUGGGUCUUGGAUUAUUUCUUUCAAUCCAAAGCACCUUUCUAUCUUCAGAGUUUGUAAUUGCCCAAGGUUAUUAGAAGCAGACAUUGGGAAGAGAUAUUUCAAAUCAUUGCAUUCUGUAACUUGUACUUCCCUUAAGCAUUGAAAGCUUAUGAUUGAUAUUUGACUGUCUUGGAUUAUUUCUUCCAACCCAAAGCACCUCUCUAUCUUUAGCGUUUGUAAACUGGGCGCAUUUAGCAUUCUAGGGUCGCCAUGAGCAACGGUAAUUGGAAAUAUAGAUUUCAAGCUUUCACAUUCCAAGAUAACAAUUACAGUCAGAUUUGGGAAGCAAACUGUUGGGGAUGAUGUGAUGACGUUUGAUUCUGCUCCAUUUCCUCAUAUUUACAUAUAUUACUCAAUUGCUUAUAAGUCACCCUCCCAAGCACCAAUUCCUAUAAACAUAUCAUCAAUUUUCAAUUUCAAAUGUUCAAAGAUGUUAACAACUUAUCAUUUUAUUAAUUAAUUUCCUUAUAUAAAUUUUAUUUUAACAAAAUUUUGCCUUAAAUCAAGAUAUACUCCAAAAAUAUGGUAAAAAUAAGACAUAAAUAAUAUCACAUAAUCUAAACACAUAAAUUAUUUGACAAGUCUAACAACUCAAUUGGGAAUUUAUUUAAACUUAUUUUUUAUAAAUCAAUUAAUAAUAUUAUCACCUUAUUUAUGUCUUUUAUUUUAAAUAUAUAUUUAAAAAAACCACCUAUGUAAAAAGCUACCUUUUAAAAAUAAUUAAAUUAAAUAAAACUAUACAUAAUUAUUUUUCACUCUUAAAUAAGAAAAACUUAAAUAUAAUUUUUUUUGAUAAAGAAUUUGCAACAUAUCUAAAACAUAAAGUUUGAUUAAUAUUUUUUUAUUGAAUUUUUUUUAUCUCAUUAAAUGGUACUAUAGUAAACUAAGUUGCUUCAAAGAUUAUGUAGAUUAGUUUCAGAACAAAAUUAUAAAAUAAAAUUUAUCAUUUAAAAACUACACAAUGGUUUGUUGAUUUCAGACAACGAAUUAUUAAAGGAAAAAAAAGAAAUAAUUUAAUAAAUAAAUAAUAUAUAACAAAAAUAAAUCUUACUUAUAUCUCAGUAAUAAUAAAAAGUGUCAAUUGAAGACAAUUGUUCACUUCUAACUUCCACAAAGACAAUUAUGUUAACAUACUGUAAUUCACAUCCCUUCCUUUCAAUUGAGGCAAAUCAAUCAAUAAAACUUGAAAUGAAAAGCACAAUCAAAUUACUCAAUCUUUCACCAUAGGACAAUAAGGAAAGGAGAUGUUAAGUUAUUGCAAUGAGAUACACAUACCUCCCCUAGACUUUGGAGUAGACAUAUGUAUGGCACUUGUAGGUCUUGGAUUACAUCUUCCAAUUGCGAGCAACUCUUUAUUUUCUAAGUAUGCAAUUGCCCAAGGGUAUUAGUAGCAGAUAGUGGGAAGAGAUAUUUUAAAUUAUCACAUUUUUCAACCUUUACUUCCCUUAAACUCUGGAGGCUUAUGUAUGGCACUUGCGGGUCUUGGAUUAUGUUUUCCAAUUGAGAGCAACUCUUUAUCUUCAAAGUAUGCAAUUGUCCAAGACAACUAGCAACAGAUAGUGGAAAGAGAUACUUUAAAUUAUCGCAUUUUUCAACAUUUACUUCCCAUAAACUUUGGAGGCUUACGUAUGGCACUUGUAGACCUAGGAUUAUGUCUUCCAAUUGCGAGCAACUCUUUAUCUCCAAAGUAUGCAAUUGUCUAAGACCAUUAUCAACAGACAGACGAAAGAGAUACUUUAAAUUAUCACAUUUUUCAACUUUUACUUCCUUUAAACUUUGGAGUCUCAUGUUCGGCACUUAAACAUGAAAAUAUUAAGACUAAUUUUUUUUAUUUUUUAGAAUUAAGACCAAACUAAUAAAAUUAUAAUUUAACCAUAGAUAUUUUCAAAAUUUUUUGUUGAAGAUACAUUUUACUAAUUCAUAGAUAUACAAACUAAAAAUAUAGUCCCGCCUGAAAAUCAAUAAAUCUUGAUUAAUAUAUUUUAUUAAUUCAUAUAUCUUCAAAAAUCAUGGAUUUCAAUUUAAUCAUAGAUAUCUUCAUCUAUUCUUUGGUUGUGGCCCAAGUAAAUCGAAAGCAUACCCAUUUACCACUUCAAAAGGAAGUAAUGAUUCCAAGAAUUUGAGUGUGGAUAAGAAAAUUCCAAACAGUCUUUUUAGCUCUGUUUUAGUUUCAAGAAAAACAUAAAAAGAUAAUAUUAGAUGAAGAAAUAUAUAACAAAAUUAUAUGUAAAAAAUCACAAUUAAACUUGGCGGUUGGUUUGCCAAUGGCCACAUGCAUUUGUUUAGCAAUUAAAGACUUGACACGACAAGAGCCGAGACAACCGAGCAAAGUGUGAAAGUCUUUGGGUCAGUUUUCACUUUUUCACCGUUACAAAAUAAUACAUCUAUGUUUUUCAUAUUUGUUUCAUUUGAAGCGUCUUUCAAGAAAAAAUAUAUUUUUUCUUCUUAUUUUUCAUUUGCUAUGAGAAAUGAAGAUGAGUUUUCUUUAUUCAAAGUGAUUUUUCUAUUAUUUUGCAAAUUCUAGAGAGAUAAAUUUCCAAUGUUUAUGUUAUAUAACAAGUUUUUUUCUUCAAAAUUAACAAUGAAUAGAAUAUACUUUUUUUUGAAAUUUCAUACCAAGUCAUGGAUUUGGGUAUCUUCAACAAAAUGUUGAGCUUUACAUAACAUGUUCUAUUGUCAUUUUGGUAAUUUUUUUCCCCAUAAUCUAAAUAAUGUAUGAAAGAUAAAAUAUAUAAUUAAUGCAUCACUUUUUAGAAAAUUUUAAGCAAGGAUCAUUAACGGUCUUAAUUGUAGUAGCUCGGUUUAGACCCUAGUCAGAUAGUGGUUUCGGGACCACAAAUUCGAGUCAAAAAAUAUUUUAAUAUUAUUUUUCGCACUUAAUUAUGUGAAUUAGUAUAUGUGAAAUUUUCGUGAUUUAAUUUAUCCAUUUGUGUGUUUAAUUUGAUAAAAAGGAUUUAAUUGCGUAAAGUGAAAAUUUUGAGGUCUAUUUAUUAAAAACAUUAAAUUGAUAUAAAAUGGAAAUGUGGAGCACUUGCAUGUCAAUUAUACCAUUAAUAAUAGUGGUGGACAAUACUUGACAAGGUUAGGUGAAUUUUUUUUAUGUUAAGUUAUUAAGGACAAAAUAGUAAAGGAUGUUUUAAUGUUUAUUAAAUUAAAAUAAAAAUGCAUUACUGGCCAUUUUGGUGUUCAUCUUGCCGAAUGUUGAAGAAAGAAAUAACCAUGGAAGCAUUUUAGGUUUCGGUACAUUCAUAGCUCAAUUAAGAUCAAGAAAAGAGGAAAUCAGAAUUGGAUCAGGGGAAAUCAAAAGUGGUCAAAUAGUCGCUCCAGUCCGUUUGUCUUCGUCCGAGGUAAGUUCAUAAGUAAAUAAUUAUUGUUAAUUUGAAUAUAUAUAUAUAUAUAUAUAUUAUAAAUGCUGAAUUAUUUUAUGCGUGGAAGAAUUGUUUAUGAGUUGAUAAGAUUGAAUUAAAACAUCUGAUAGCCUCGUACGAACCAUAGGAUUCUGAUAUGUGAUUUUGUGUAAGACCACGUCUGGGACGUUGGCAUCGAUUUGAGAUUUACGUGUAAGACCAUGUCUGGGACAUUGACAUCAUAUUUGAUUACGUAUAAGACCUUGUCUGGGAUAGUGACAUCGUUAUUUGAUUACAUGUAAGACCACAUCUGGGACGUUGGCAUUGUACGAGUUUUUUGAGCUAACCGAGUAUCCUUUUUGAGUCCGAACGGUUCUACGGGCAAAGACAUGGCAAGACCAAAUAUGAAUUCGAUUUAAACGAAUCAAAUAAGUUUGAGUAAUAUGAAGUUUGGAAUUAAAAGUAAGUUUUGUGGUAUAACAUGAAAAUGUGAGCUAAUUGUUUAAAUGCAAUUAUAUAUAUAUAUAUAUAUAUAUAUAUGUGUUUAAGAUUGAGAGUAUUCGGCCUAAUUGUGUGAAUUAUAAUUGUGAACUAAUUAUUUGCUUAUAACUUACUAAGCUAUUUAAGCUUACCUUGUGUUUGCUCAUUCGUUGUUAUAAAUUUUGGAAGCUAGUUACGAGCUCGGGGAUCAUCAAGAAUCAUCGUCACACUACCAUUCGGUAAUUUUGAAGUUUUAAAUUAUGAACAUAUGGCAUGUAUAGGCUAGAUUAAAUAUGUUGGAUUUUGAAGUUGUAUAUAUAUAAAUAGCCAUGCAAAAAUGGCUUGAUCUUAAUGCUAAUAUGCUAAUGUUUAAGUAAUUUUGGGACAUGGUAUAUAUGUGUGGUAUGCUUGGUAUAUGAAUUCGGUAUGAUGAAAAGAUGUAUAUGUAUAUAUGGUUCAUGAUUAGUUCAUUUUGGUAAGCUUGUUAUAAGGAUGAUGGAUUUGUUUUGGUUAUGUUUUGUUAAUGAUGUUAUGAUAGUGAUUUUGGGUCAUGUAUUAGAUAAACUUGUAAGUAUGAUUUAUAGUAUAAUUUAUGUGUCGAAUCGUUUUGAGAUUUAGCUUGAUUAAAUAGGUAAGAAGAUAGAAAGAUGAGUAUAUCAAUGAUGGUGUAAAUGCUAUUUGGGUACAAUUUAGAAUGGUACAUAAAAACUUCCAUAAAAACUUCGAAAACCUUAAAACUAAGGUUUUUAAAAUAUUUAUUUUUAUAAUAUUAAUUUUUUUAAAAUUUUUAUUUUAAAUUAUCAUGUCACAUUAGAUGUAACAUGUCAUUUAAUGAUUAAAUUAGUAAAAUGACCUUUCUAGUCCAUCUCAAUUUUGAUAUUGAGCAAAUUUGUCUCUCUAAAAAAAUCGUACCAAUCUAAUCCCUAUCAAUUUCGAAAGUGACCGAAUAAGGACAAUUUUCAUAAAUUUGACUGGUAUAAUAACAAAAUUGACUGCUAUAAUAACAAAUUUAGCUCUCAAAGUUGACACAUUCUAUCAAUUUAGUCAUAAUUUAACAAAUUCACUCGCAAUAUUUUUAUAAACAUGUAGAUAUUAAGACUAAACUUAUUAAUUUUUUUAGAAUCAAGACAAGACUAACAAAAUUACAAUUUAAUCAUAGAUAUUUUCAAAAUUUUUUGUUGAAGAUAUAUUUUGUUAAUUCAUAGAUAUACAAACUAAAAAUAUAGUCCCGCUUGAAAAUCAAUAAAUCUUGAUUAAUAUAUUUUAUUAAUUCAUAUAUUUUAAAAAAUCAUGGAUUUCAAUUUAAUCAUAGAUAUUUUCAGAUAUUCUUUUGUUGUGACCCAAGUAAAUGAAAAAUAUACCCACUUACCACUUCAAAUUGAAGUAAUGAUUCCAAGAGUUUGAGUGUGGAUAUGAAAAUUCCAAACAGUCCUUUUAGCUCUGUUUAGUUCAAGAAAAACAUAAAAAGAUAAUAUUAGAUCAAGAUAAUAAAGAUAAUGCAUUUGUUUUGCAAUUAAAGACUUAGGACAAGAGAGGAGACGACCGAAAAAAGUGUAAAAGUCUUUGGGUCAGUUUUUACUUUUUUACCAUUACAAAAUAAUAAGCGUCUUCCAAGACAAUAUGUUUUUUUUCUUCUUCUUAUUUUUCAUUUGCUAUCAGAAAUGAUUUUUUUAUUAUUUUGCAAAUUCUAGAGAUAAAUUUCCAAUGUUUAUGUUAUAUAACAAGUUUUUUUUCUUCAAAAUAAAAAAUGAAUAAGAAUAUGCUUUUUUGAAAUUUCAUACCAAAUCAUGGAUUUGAGUAUCUUCAACAAAAAGUUGAGCUUUGCAUAACAUGUUCUAUUGUCAUUUUGGUAUUUUUUUUUCCGUAAUCAAAAUAAUGUAUGAAAGAUAAAAUAUAUAAUUAAUGCAUCACUUUUUAGAAAAUUUUAAACAAUCAUCAUUAACGGUCUCAAUAGCUUUAUGGGUAAAUUACAAUCAAAUCAUUAAAUUAUUAAUAAUGUCGAAACUUUUUUUGAAAUCGACUUUCUAUUUUUAAAAAGACGAGAAUGACAGUCGUCACUAAUUCUUUUUUUAUUAGGUGUAAUCGGAUCAUCUCGUAAUUUAAUCAUUUUAAUAAAAAUUUAAAUUUACUAAAACGACGAUUAUUGGUCUACAAAAUCCAAGAAAUGGGUUCGGGAGUCGGCUACACACGAGGAAAUGUUAGUUUCCUCAUAACGCCCAAAAUUUGUACUUAAGUGAUUAAUUGGUGUCCUAAGGUCGAAAGUUGAAAAUUCGAAAAGAGUUUAAAAUAUGAUCCCUCUUUGUAUGAAUGUAUUCUUUAAGUAAAAUCCCUUGAAUAAAUCAAAAGGUGUGUAAAAAGCCGUCUUACCUCGAGGUAACAAAAAGGUCAUAUCCCGUAAGUUAGGACACGCCAUCUCGAAUCCUCGAAAAUAAGCUUGCUCUUUAUUUAAUUAUUAUUCAAAUCUCAGGUGUUUUAAUUUUGAAAGAGAUGUUCGGCUGUCUAGGUUCAAAAAGAAAGUUGAACCCCGUAAGUUAGGGGUACGACUUCUCAAAUCUCCAAAUGCGGAACAUUUCCAUAAUUUUAAAAUUUUCCUUUUUAUGCAUCGAGUAAAAAUUAAUGUAACACUUAAAAUAGAAUAUAUUUAAUUUAUUUGGGCAUCGUAUGAAAAAUCGACAAAUCUGUUCAAACAAGGUUCGUGACAUGAUUACGAUCAUAAGAAAAUUAGAUGAAGUAUAUAUAAAAAAUGAUAGUAUAUGGAAAAUAAAAAUGUCAUGCUAGUAAGCGACAAUGUGAUAUCAAUUUGUAGUAAUAAUAGCAUAAUAAUAAUAAUAAUAAUAAUAAUAAUAAUAAUAAUAAUAAUAAUAAUAAUAAUAAUAAUAAUAAUAUGAACAAUAAACAUACAUAAUCUAAUUUUGAAAAUAUAUUUAAAAUAAAUAAAUAAAUAAUGACAAUAAUAAAGGCAAAAGAAGAAAAGAUAAAAAAAUAAAAAAAUAAAAAAACAAAUUUUAAAUAAAAGGAAAUAAUAAGUAAAUAAAAAUAAUAAUACAUAGAAAUGAAUAAUCUAGAAAGGGUCGAAACUAAAUAAAUAAGGAUUAAAUCGACAUUGAAAUGAAAUUAAGAGUCUAAAUUAUAAUAAAAUAAGUGCAUAAAUAUAAAAAGGAUUAAAUUGAAACUUAAGUAAAAUUUUAGCGGAGAAAUCGGGAUAAAAAUAAAAUAAGGGACUAAAUUGUAACACUUGAAGAAAAGAGAGGGACUGCAUUUAAACAAAAUCAAAAUCAUAGGGUGAAAUUAAAAAACAAAAAAAUUGGAUUGAAAAAUAAUUAAAAAGUUGAAGGACUAAAGGCAAAAUUAGACCAUCCUUCCAAAAACACGCAGAUCUUAAGGGAUUCGGGUCGAGUCAUUAGGUCGGCCCCAAAACGACGUCGUUUUGGGGCGUUUUGGAGCACCUCUAAAAGGUGCCGUUUUGGCACCCUAUUUAACUAAAAAAUUCAAAAAAAAAUCAUUUUUAAAACUUUUUUUUAAAACACUUCGUUCUUUUUUUUUCUCUCCACCCCUCCCAAUUCGGCCUAGGGAGCUGUCAAGCUCGGCCGUGACGACCGUCGGUCGCCGGCGACGGCUCCAUCAUCCACGAUGGCUGAAAAACAGAAAAGGUGCAUUUUUCGGCCUUUUGGCUUCCAAAGCCCAGAUCUGAGGACUAAGGGCCUAAAAAGGUAGAAAAAAGAAGAAGAAAGUUUCAAUUUUUUUUUCUAUUCGCCUUUUAUUUUUAAAUAUAUAUGUGUUUUUUUUUCGCUUUCGAAAAAAUAAAUAAACAAAAAAAUGAAAUCACCUUCUGUAUUUGAUUUCUUUUUUCGAUUGAUUUCCUUUUUUUUAUAGUUUUUUUUGUCCCCAAAAAUACAUUUUAAUCUGGCCUAUAUAGCUGAUUUUUACAUAUUAAUUUUUAUAUUUUUCUACUUUUUCAUAUUGUUCAUCGCGUGUGUUGCUUCUUCUUUGUAGGGGUGGUUGUUGGUGGUAGGGGCUAGGGUGCAGGGCUGACGUGGGAGGAGCGGCGGCACCAAGGGCUAGGGGAUAGGGUUUUUUUUUACUGAAAAGAUGUUUUGGGUUAGGUUUUUUUAUUUGGGCCAUGUUGGGCCAUAUUGUAAAUGGAUUAUUAUUUAUUUUUAUUGGACUUUAACAUUAUUCUUUAGUUUGGUUUGUUUGGGCCCGGGCUAAAUUGGCCUGUUACAAUUGCCCCUCUUUACUCAUUGUCAUGUAACAAGAAUGGAGCAAAUUUUGUCUGGUAUUGUUGAAUCUCGACUUUUUUGGUGCUUCUCUUCUUCAAGUAGUCUCAUUCUAACCUACUGCAACUUCAGAGAUAUGGGAAUUGUAAUUUCAAUCUACUCUGCUGCAACCUCAGGGAGAUGAGAUUUAUAGCUUUAAUUUGCUUCACUGCAACUUCAGGGAGAUAAGAUUUACUAUUUUCAAUCCGUUCCACUGCCACUUUAGGGAAAUAAGAUUUGUUGUUCUAAUCUGCUCUACUACAACUUUAGAGAGAUAAAAUUUAUAGCUUUAAUCUGCUACAUUGAAACUUCAGGGAGAUAAGAUUUAUGGUUUUAAUCUGCUCUACUACAACUUCAGAGAGAUAAGAUUUUCUAUCUUCAAUGUGCUCCACUGCAACUUUAGGGAGAUAGAUUUGUGGCUUUAAUCUGCUCUACUGCAACUUUAGAGAGAUAAGAUUUGCUAUCUUUAAUCUACUCCACUGCAACUUCAGAGAGAUAAGAUUUUCUAUCUUCGAUUUGCUCUACUGCGACUUAAGGCAGAUAAUAUUUGCUAUCUUCAAUCUGCUCCACUGUGACUUCAGGGAGAUAAGGAUUGUUGUCUUCAAUAUGCUCCACUGCGACUUCAGGGAGAUAAGAUUUAUGGCUUUAAUCUGCUCCACCAUAACUUUAGAGAGAUAGGAUUUGUGGCUUUAAUCUGCUCUACCGCAACUUCAGGGAGAUAAGAUUUACCAUGAUAAAUUUUAUUCAUCCUACUGCAACUUCAAGGGUAUAGAAUUUGUGGUUUCACUGAUCUAUUACACCGUUCUCUAGGGAAUAUGGCCAGUAGAACCCAUUUCAUGGGCCUAUAUUUAUGCCAAGCGAUUAGGAUGCUAUGAUCAAAAUGAAUCAAAUGCUCCUAAUUAGAUGUGUAUGAAUGAUAGUUGCAUGAAUGCAGAAUGCCAUUUUUUGAGAAUGACCCCCUUUUAAUGCUUAGGUUGACAUUGCUCAUUGUUCAUCAAGGUUCUAUUAAUGGCGCAUUACCUUUCUUCUUGUUUAGCUGGUAUCUUUGACAGAAAACCCAAAAAAAUAAUCACAAUUUAAACUAUUUGUUCCCAAACAUUUCCAACUCUCAGAUUUGGUCAGUUCUGACUUGUUGUCCUGUUUCAGGUCCUUGUACUAUUUAGAAAACCUUUCAGAGCAUUAUGCAGAAAUCCUUUUACUUGAAUAUUAUUAGUCCAUUAAUCAUUAUUUCAAUGAAAAAUGCUUGAAAAAGAUCGUAACAAUGGACAAGAUUGAAAUUUAUUGGGAGCAGAGCUCGAAAUGAAUAGAUUAAUCAAAGAUAGGAAACGUUACUAAAAUACAAAAUGAGUAAGAUGAAAAUAGAUGCCCCACAUAUCGUAGAAUGUGAUUUUCUGCACUAACUUCAUGAGGACAUCUUUUAAGCCUGAUAUAUGUUUAGGAGAUCUAGAGUACUUUGUUGAUGCCCUAAUAUGUAACAUUUUUCCUUUCGAGAAGACCCGACCAUCACAUGUUCAAUCUUCAAUCCAAAUUUGAGCUGCCCAUUUCUUGGGUUUUCAACUCAAAAACCCCUUUGGUCUCAAUGCACCAUUUGCGGGUUUUCGUCUUGGCCUAUUUCCCUUUUUUUUAGGUGAAGUAUUUCUUGACUGAAUCCGAAUUCACAGGACUAAGUAGGCUUUUGCCAUCCAUCUCGGUCAAAAUCAAUGCUCCUCAAGAAAAGGCCUUAUUUACCACAUAAGGUUCUUUCCAAUUUGGCAUCCAGUUUCCUCUAAAAUCCUUUUGUAUGGGAAUGAUCUUUUUAAAUAUCAGUUCCCCUUCAUGGAAUUCUCUGGGGCGAACCUUUUUGUCAUAAGCUCGCAUCUUUUGUUUGUGGUACAACUGACCAUGACGGAUAGCUUUCAACCACUUUUCUUCAAUCAAAUUUAGCUGAUCAUAUAGAUAUUGGAUCCAUUCUGCUUCAUCUAACUUCAAUUCUAACAAAACUCAAAGAGAAAGAAUCUUGAUUUCAAUGGGCAAAACUGCCUCCAUUCCAUAAACCAAUGAGAAAGGCGUUGCCUUGGUGGAGGUUUUGUCAGACGUUCGAUAAGCAUAGAGGGCAAAUGGUAACUUCUCAUGUCAAUAUUUAUAAGUCUCAGUCAUAUUCCCUACAAUCUUCUUAAUGUUCUUAUUGGCUGCCUCCACCACACCAUUCAUUUUUGGGCGAUAUAGUGACGAGUUAUGGUGUUUGAUCUUGAAUUGACUACAGACCUCCGCUAUCGUGCUGUUAUUCAAGUUCAAUGCAUUGUCAGAUAUAAUUCUUUCUAGCAUCCCAUACCGUUAUAUGAUCUCUUUCUUUAAGAAUUUACUGACUACCGACUUCGUGACAUUAGCAUAAGAAGUGACCCACUUGGUGAAGUAAUCAAUGACCACAAAGAUGAAUCGAUGUCCACUGAAAGCUUUUGGCGAGAUCUGCACAAUGACAUCCAUUCCCCACAUAGAGAAAGGUCAUAGAGAAGUCAUAACAUAAAGAAGUGAAUGAGGCACAUGAAUUUUGUCUCCAUAAAUUUGACACUUAUGACAUCUCUUGGCGUAACUGAUACAAUCUCCUUCCAUGGUGGACCAAUAAUACCUGAAUCUUAUAAUUUUCCUAGCUAUUGUAAAACCAUUAGCAUGUGCUCCGCAGACACCCCCAUGGACUUCUAUUAAGAUUUUCUUAGCCUCAACAACAUCCAAACAUCUUAUUAGCACUUGAUCUUUUCUUCUUUUGUAUAGGAUCUCCCCAUCUAAGACAUAGUCAUUGGCCAGUCUUCUCAACAUCCUUUUAUCAUUCUUGGUUGUUUGAUCGGGGUAUUCAUGGUUCUUCACAUAUCGCUGUAUAUCAUGGUACCAAGGGUGAUCAUCAUUUUCUUCUUAUUUGAUGUUGUAACAAUGAGCCAGAGCCUCAUAAAUACUCAUCUGGAUAGGUUUUACAUCCUCUUGUUUGUUCACUUUGAUCAUGGAAGCCAAAGUAGCCAAGGCGUCAGCCAUCUGAUUUUCAUUUUGCGGGGGGUAGCAGAAAGUGAUGUCAUCAAACUCCUCAAUUAAAUCAAGAACCAACCUGCGAUAACUGAUUAGUUUGAGGUCUCUCAUCUCCCAUUCAUUUUGAGUUGAUAAAUCACGAGUGUAGAAUCCCCAUAUACCUCUAGUACUUUGAUCUCACGUUCUAUGGCUGUAUGGAUACCCAUGAUGCAUGCUUCGUAUUCUGCCAUAUUGUUCGUGCAAUCAAAAUCCAAUUUACUAGUAAAUGGAUAAUGAUCUCUAUUUGGGGAUACAAAGACUAACCUGGUUCUGUUACCCACAACGUUUGAAGCUCCAUCAAAAUUUAGCUUUCAAGGAUGUCUGCCUUGAGAAUCUUCUUUGAUGAUUACAACAUACAUCAGAUUUUCUAUAACAGCCCGAUUUUGGGCCUUGUCGAAAUAGUGGUUUCAGGACCACAAAUUCGAAGAGGAAAAAUUUAUUUUUAUUAUAUUUUUAUGGCCUACAAUUUCACAGAAUGAUUUCGUGAAAAUUUCGUUCGAAAAUUUUGACAUUUGGGCACUCAAUUUAGUCAAAAAGGCUAAAUUGUAAAAAACUGCAAAAAUUGAGUUCUACAUGCUAGAAGUGUCCAAUUGUUAUGAAAUUUUAAAUUGGAGGUCCUUAAAUGGUAAUUAGACUAUUGGUUAAAUUAUGGACAAAAAUAGACAUAAGAUAAGUGAAAUAGGAAAUUUUUAAGUUAGGGGUAUUUUGGUAAUUUUGUAAUUAAAAUGCAUUAAAAAGACAAAAUAGGCCAAAAAUCAUCAUCUUCUCCAUGGGGGCUGCAAAACAUGUCAUGAAGCCAUGGCUAGGGUUUGUUCAAGCUUCCAAGCUUCAUAGUAAGUCCAUCUUUGCCCCGUUUUUAAUGAUUUUUACGUUUUUGAGAUCACUGUAAUAUGAUUUAUCUAUUUCUACCAUUUAUUUGAGCUAGGGUUGAUGUUUAAAAAUUUACCCAUGGAUGAUAUACAUGUAUUUUGAUGUUUUAUGGAAGAAUAUGAAUGUUUGGAGUGUGAUAAACGACUUAAACUAAGUGAUUUUCGAUAAAAAUACCUAAAAGGAUUAAUUUGGAAAAGUUAUAAAUUAUGACAUAAGUGUGUGAAAUAGUGAAAAUUUUGGAUUGAAACUGCCAUGAAAUGGUUUGGCUAGGCCUCAAAUGCAAGGAAAUUGAAUAAAAAUUAUUUUACGAGCCUAAGGGCAAAAUUAUAAUUUUGUGAAACAUUAGGGACAAAAAUGUAAUUUUGCCAAAAUUGAUUUUUAGACUAGAUUCAAUAAUGUGAGUGUUAAAUAAGUUAAAUGUGUUAUUAUAAAUCAAGAAAGACGAGAAACUGACCUUGAAAGUAUGAUGGUAAGUUUGUAUGUAAAUAAUGCAUUAUUUUACUUACGAUUUUAUGUUUUAAUAUAUUUUAUGACAUGUGGUUGAAUGAUAUAUUUUAUGAUAUGUGAUUGAAUGAUAUAUUUUAUGAUAUGUGGUUGAACAUCAAAUAAAAUUGACAAAGUAUCGAAAUGUGAGAAAUUUCCCUGUUGAACCUUAGGAAUAGACUUGGAUACAAGUGACAUGUCAUUAAGGAUCCAUGUGAAAUUGUGAUUAAGUGAAUCCGGGUGCUGGUCUUAAGUUCUACUAGUGGUUGGGUAUAUUGGCAUGUGUUGCGGAUACCUGACAGCUUGUGUGAGCAGACCUAUGAUGUGAAAUUGUGACUAAAGUGAAUUCAAGUGCUGGUCUUAAGUUCUACCAGUGGCUGCGUAUAUCGGCAUGUGUUACAGAUACUUGACAGCUUGUGUGAGCAGCAUUGAGUAGUAACGAAAGAUUGAUAGCUUGUGUGAGCAGACCCGUGAAAGAGAAUAGCUCGAGAACGACCCUUUAUGUAAAAAGUGAUGUGAAGUAGCUUUGGCUACAAGUGUGGCACUUAUGUGCAAACUUUUGAUGUAUCCAAUAACAUUCCUAUGUGUUCAACGGGAAAAUGAUUAAGAGUAAUUGAAUGUGAUUAUAUGAUAAGCAAUGUAUUUGACAUUUGAUCGAACUUUCGGUAAGAUGAAAUGGAGUAAAUGAAAUUUAUGAAAGAGUGAAAUUUAGAAAUAAAAUAGUUGGACAGCAACAGUUGUAUGACUUUGAAAAAUCACCAAAAAUAGUGGAAAUUGAAUUGGAGAAUGAAUAAGAUGUGAAAUGAAAGCUUAAUGAGUAUAUUUUUACAUAAAAGAAAUAGAGAAAGCAAAAGAGUUACAUAUUUUGAGAUAUUUGAAGUUUAGUGAGAUAGGGUCAGAAUAAAUUUAGAAUCCCCUAUUCUGAAUUUGCCUAUUCUGAAUUUGGAAACUCGUUAAAAAUUGUAAAACAAUAAUUACAGGAUAAACUUUAUAUUUUUAGAACCUUGAAUGAGUCUAUUUUCAAAACAAAUAAACUUAAUUAGCAUCCAAAUUCUGUACAAUGAGAUAAUUAAUAUUUAGUGAAGAGAGGUCAAAACUGGUGAGUAGUGAAAUAGGAUAACUUUAAAGAAUAAACUGUACUAUUUGGCUACGCCAAAAAUUCUGAAAAUUUUAUGGUAAUAAUAUAUGUGAAUCUAGUUUUGGGGAAAAUUAACAGAUCUUAAUUUGGAGUUCUGUACCUCUAGGUAAAAAUAUUUUAGUGACUCUAACUCGGAUAGAUAGUUUUAAGUAUACAUAUGAGUGAAUAGUGAUAUUAUAGAAAAUGAUAUUUAUAAGAGUGUUGUAUAUACUAAGGAUGUGGAAUGGAAAGGAGGAGAAGGAGAAUUAAAUAUAUAUGAAUGAUUUGUGUAUAAUUGGUUAUAUGUUUGAUUAUAAUCGAUAAACGUUGAAAUAGAAAUGAUGCUUACAUUUGUGUAUUAUUGAUCAUUGUACAAGCCCAUGUUGCCCGGCCUAUUACAAACCCAUCUUAAACAGACCCAAAAUAACCCAAACUCAACCCACUUAAAACACACCCAAUACCCAACAGCCCAAUAGCCCAAAAUCAUCAAAAAAAAAGAGAAAAAAACCCUAACCCUAGCCUCUGAUAGCCACUUGCGCCGCACCUAGGGCCUGCUGGUCAACCACCCCACCGCCGUAGCUACCAACUGCUCUACCACUUGUGCCGCGCACGUCCCAUCGUCCUCCAUCAGCCCUGCAAAAUGAAGAACACACGCAAGCAGCAACAAACAAUAAAAAUUUUUGUAAAACGACUCUAUAUAAAGCCAUUCGAACUUCAAAAUGGGGGCUUGAUCACUGAAUCGGGGGGCUUUUUCUUUUCUUUUGUAACAUUUUCAUAUAAAUAAAACAAUAAAAAAACAGAUUCAAGGCUUUGAUAUCAGAUUCAUAUUUCUUUUUUAUUUAUUUUAUUUUCUUUAUUUCGUACAUUAAAUAGAAAAUAAAAAGGAAAAGGGGACUCACCGGGAACCACCAUGGUUGCGCUGUCGGAGGGCUUCUCCUCCGUCACCGAUUCGGGUCCGAGAGGGGUUGUGGGUUUCCCUCUUUCCCACGGGUUGAGAGAUCUGAGAUCUCAAGGAUGCCACACGAUGAGGGUUAAAACCCCAUUUUUCUUGCAUGACUCCGGCCACCGUCCUUGGUGGCGCUGCAAUGGAGAUGCGGCAGACGGCGGCGGGGUUUUAAGUUUGUAACCCUAGCAGAGAAAGGGGAAGACCCUUUUAUUUUUUUCUUAUUUUUUUUAAGAAAUGAAAUAGCAGAAAAAAAUUAGAUUUUAUAGGAAUUUCAAAACGGCGCCGUUUAAGGCUCCCUUGACCCGUGCGGUGACCCGACCCGAGGGAAGGAUCCGCGUGUUUUCGCUAAAAGGGAUAUUUGCGUGUGCAGUCCCUCUGACUUUGAAGUGUGUCGUAAUUUGGCCCCUUUUCGCAUUUUCUUUUAUUUUUAAUUUGGCCACAAAGUUUUAUUUUUGUUUCAAUUUAGUCCACUGCUGCGCUGCGUUUUGGGGGGGCUUCGGUUUAUUUGCAGCCUUGGUCCCUCUCCUUUCAAGCGCGUCACGGAUUAAUCCUUGACUUCAUUUCAGUUUUGAUUUUUUUUUCCUCUCUCAUUUUGUUUUGUUUUCAAUUUAGCCCUUUUUAUUAUUUAACCUAUUAUUAUUAUUAUUAUUGCAUUUAAUCUACCUAUUUAUACCGUUUUAGACUUUGUUAUAUACAUACUCAUAUUUUACAUACUUUAUAAUUCAUCUAUAUAUAUACAUACUUUCAUAUAUACAUGUUUUUAUAUAUUUCUAUUAUUUUUAUAAUUCAUAUAUAUAUCUUUAUUUAUUUGCUUCAUGUAUAUUUCUGCUAUUGUUAUUUUGCUUCGGUUUGUCUGUUUGGUAUUUUUUAUGUAUUAGUCUCAUUACUUAUUUAUAUUUUGUUUUGCUCGUGAUUAUUUUACUUACAUUAUCAUCAUCAUUUCAUUACACCCAUUUUUUAGAUUUUAAAAAAGAAAUUUUAAAAAUAUAAGUAAUAUUCGGUAUUUUAGAUCUUCGAAAGAAUCGAGCCCUAACGUAUUGGGUUUCGAUUUUCUUCGUUGAAUCUAAAUAAUCGGGAUUACUCUUUUAAAAAUGAUGAAAAGCUUGUUAUUGAGAAUUCAAUACGUUGUGUCCUAACGCAUUGGAUGUGACACGUUGUUUUCUUGAAACGAGGAGUUUUUGAAAUAAAUGCAAUAUUCAAUGUUUAAUAUUUUGAGAAAUUGUGCCCUAACGUAUUGGGUUGCGAUUUCUUCAUUUGAUUUAAACAAUGAAUAUUCUUUUAAACUUUAUUACACGAUUUUUUUUAAACUCAAGUUUUAAACGAUAUCGGGAGUUAAGAAAAGAUUGGGUCCUAACUUACUGGGCAUGAUCCCUUUCCUAAACCCGAGAUAAUAAAAUAUUUUUUUAAAAUAAAUAAAAUUCUGGCAUUCAUUCACGUAUCAGAAAUUCGAGACAUUGUAUCCUAACUUACUAGAUAUGAUGCUUUCUUUCUCGAUUAACGUGGAAUGUGUCCCCUUUUCCCAAAAUUUUCAACUUUUUAAUACAAGGAUCGUAUUUUUAAAUUUCUUUAAAGUUUUCAGCUUUUCGACAUUAAGACAUUAAGUAAUCAACUAAGGUACUAAUUUUGGGCGUAUCGAGGGUGCUAAUCCUUCCUCGUGCGUAGCCGACUCCCGAACCCGUUUUUUAGAUUUCGUGGACCGAAACCGUUGUUUUAAUAAAAUCAAAUCAUUUAUGAAAAACAACCUUUUUCGAGGUGAUCCAAUCACACGUCAUAAAAAAAGAGAUUGGUGGCGACUCUCGUUUCAUUUUUCAAAACCCAAGUCGACCUCGUUUUCCAUCCAAAAAAUGGUGUCAACAGCUUGGCGACUCCGCUGGGGACCCAAAAUAAGUGAGUCAAGCCACGUGUUGAUUAAUUUUUGUCUUUUGUCGAAAGUUGAAAAUUUGAUUUAAAUAUACGAUCCUCUCAUUACAUUUUGUUUGUUUUGAGUUAUAGUUUUCAUCAUGUUUUGUAUUUUAAAUUUUUAUAUCUCUGCACUUUGCAUUGCAUGACCGUUGGUCACACCUUUUUAAGUGGGAGUGAAAAGCUAGUCCUUCGUGAGGUUUUUACCUCCAUGCAGGAUAGUGGAUCACUUUCGGGAUACAUCCGUACCUAUGUCUUCGUGAUAUUUUUCAUCUCCGUGCAGCCAUAGAGAAAUGUAUUCCCCUGAACUGAACUCGGUCCGUAUAAGCCUAUAAUGGGUGAGGAUCGAGGAAUCUGCUGGUUCGGGUACCCUUACUCUAGAACCAAACCUCAUGUAGUGAACUUUAGGAGCCCACCCUAGGUAGAACCACUUCGAACCCCUAGUAUUCACCCGAAUAGAUGUUCUGUUUAUUCUUGCUUGCUUUUGCUUUGUACUAACCUAUUUUCCUUUUUUGAUGAUUGCAUUGCAUUUUCAUCAUAAAGAUGUGUUGAUUCAGGUUCGGUCGUUAAAUAGAGAGCUUGUCAUAAGGAAAUGAGUCUUUUGAUAAAGUGGAAAAUAAUACGGUUGCCCGAAUAUGUUCCGAGAAAACACAACAAAAGAAAGAUGAUAGAGGACAACACAACUAUUGCUUUGAUGCCCGAGGAUUUAAGAUGUCGAAGAUUAUUCAAGAACCGCUAAACUUUCUUAAAGAGGAGCCAAUAAGCAUCAUGAGGAUAAGCGAGCAACGAGUCGUGGCCCGGAUCAAGCAAAAAGGAGAUAAAAGAGAUGUCCCUUUUUGAAGAGUUCGUGAGAUUCAUCUUAUCGCAUGAAUGAAGAAAAGGAUCGUUGUCUUGGAAUAUAAGGGCAAGGCCGUAUAUAUAUUUGCUUUAUGUAAAGAGAUUUGUUUUCUAGUAAAGUUGUCAUAAUAAGAAUUGAACCAGGAAUUAACGUCUCUUUUUGCAUUAAUUUCAUGCAUUUGCAUUACAUUGCAUCAUAUGCUUUAGAUUUUCACAAAGAGACCCUAAUUAAGUAAAAAUUAUUUCAGCUAAUCUGGAAAAACCAACAUUCUUGCGGUACCUGAAUAGAAACUAAAGGAAUGGACCAAAGGUUAGAGAGAUUAGAGCGAAUGCAGAUACAGAUGCAGGAGCAAUUGACCGAAUUUCAACAGGAGAUGAGAGAUCAGAUGCCAGAAUUACAGAGAACUAUGAUAAGCCGAUUCAACCGAUUGCUAGCUGGAGAGUUAGAAAAAAGGAAGGACCUGAUAGACCACUCUGAUGUUGAUAAUGAGAAUUACUUAUUUCUUAGAUUGUACUCCGACAAAUGUCCAGGUCCAGCCAGAUGGGCACCCACAAGGGGCACUCUUUACCAUAAGAUCUCAACAAUAUCAGACUGGUACAACAGCACGAGUGAGUGGCUUGACGGACCCAAGAUCCAAUUUGAAGAAUAAUUUUCUUGUUGCACGUGAUGAUCCAGUAGAAAUGAAACAGGUGAGGGCAGAGUACCCAGAUACUAUAGAGGCCCUAAGGAAGAAGAUGAAUAGGGGGAAUAAUGCGAACAGAUAUAACAAGGGCCACUCAAAACCAAUCACUGUGGCCGAUCAAAGACAGAAACCACCAGACGUCGGAGUCCUUUAAAGCAAGAAUCUGGGGUGAAACCAGGUACCGAGAAGCUCCAGUUCACACCAAUUCUGACGUCAUAUAAGGAACUGUAUCAGAGAUUAUUUGACGCACGUGUUGUCUCCCCUUUCUACUUAAAGCCUUUACAACCUCCGUAUCCCAAAUGGUAUGACACAAAUGCGCAAUGUGACUAUCAUGCGGAAAUUACGGGGCAUUCUAUAGAAAAUUGCGCUACCUUUAAAAAGAUGGUUGAAAGGUUUAUCAAUAUGGGCAUCAUCAAAUUUGAUGAUUCACUCAGUACAGAAAACCCACUACUCAAUCAUACGGAUAAUGAAAGGAAUGCGAUGAAUGAAGAGAUGUUAGGAAACGUUCACAUCAGUGCCGAAUACGAAGAAGCAACCGGAGAAGAGAUCUUAUUAGAUGUUCGCCCUUAUAAACUUGGGAGUGUUCUAAAGAAACCUCUGUAGUAUUUAGAGCUUACUCAGAGUAAUAUUCAAAACACACUUGUUGCUUUCAGCCUAGAGGCAACAAGAAGUCUUUUGUGAAAUAGGCUCAUGUUUGAAUGCCAUUAUGGAAUGCAUCUUUGCGAUAUUUUGAACCAAUAUUCUUUCAUUUCUUGAAUGAUUAUUUUUAUUCUUUUAUUCUUUCAUCCAAAUCAUUCUUCCAUUCAUUCAUAAUCAUAUUGUGCAUAACUUCAUAUAUUCUUUGUAUAUUCUUUUGUACCGACAAUAGGUCCCUGGAUAUCAACGGCAUGAAUGACACUGCUACAGACUUAGAAUCUCCUUUUGAGCGAGACAUGUGUUUAAAGGGAUCUCACGACUCUGAAGAUGACAUAGAUUGUAGCCUAUCCCCGGACNNNNNNNNNNNNNNNNNNNNNNNNNNNNNNNNNNNNNNNNNNNNNNNNNNNNNNNNNNNNNNNNNNNNNNNNNNNNNNNNNNNNNNNNNNNNNNNNNNNNAAUUGACCUGACCACAGAAAUGAAGCAAGACCUUGUUGAGUUACCUCUAGAGUUCAAAGAUGUCUUUGUAUGAUCAUACCAGGGUAUGCCUCGAUUCUUAUAAUAAAGCCUGCACAACAGCAUGAUGUCAGAAAUUUACAGUGCGAACGAUGCAAUUCUUUACCGGGGCAAUGCCUCUCUCGUUGAGUCAGCAUAACUUUGCCCAUUUGAAGUCGAGUUUUCAUCCCUUCAAGAUGUUGUUGGAUUUUUUCCGGAUUAAAGAGGAAGAUCUAAAGUUUUCUGUCGUAGUUGCGUCCCAAAAGGUCUCUAUGAAAGAAAUUUGGUACCAAAGAAGAUUUUUCACAUACAAGAUGAAAGUGGAAGACUUUAGAAUAACAUUGAUUCUGGUCGAAAAACAUGACCAGGACUUGCCUGAUCUCAUGAGUUCAGACUCAAAAAAAAUCAAAAAAUCAAAAAAUCAAAAAAAAAUCAAAAUCAAAAAAAUCAAAGUCAAAAAUAGGAGAAAAAAAGAAAAAGAAAAAGGAUAGGUCAAUGCGAAAACCCGCAAAGGGCGCUUUGACCAAAAGUGGAUCUGAGUUGAAAACCCAAAAAAGGGCGACUCAAAUUUUGAGCAAAAUGGGGCAUGAACAACACCAUUAUCGAAGACUUCUAAUGGGCAUUGCUUCAUUUUGAGAAGGUACUUCACGGAUCAAGGUCAUUCUAUACCGAUACAGAAUUUCAGAGAGGAUGGUAUUGGAAAAUGCAUUGAACUUAAAUGAUAGCACGAUAACUGAGGUCUGAAAUCAAUUUAAAAGCAAACACCACAUUUUUUCACCGAAUUACUUAGAGGUGAACAAGGACUGCAUGAGAAAUUACCAUUUGCCCUUAUUGUUUGUCGAACAUCGGUAUUGGGGCAACGCCUCUCUUUUUGGUUUACAGGAUUGAGGUAGUUCUACCUAUUAAAAUCCCCCCAUUGCUUGUUAGAGGGAUCCAAUCGCGAUGUGAUCAGUUGACCCCAGGAAAAGGGUUAAAAGCUAUUCAUCAGGGGUCAAAUGUACCAGAAAUAAAUGAUAUGAGCCCGUAAUAAAUAAGCUCGUCUCAGAGAAUUCCACGAGAGGGCUGGAUGUUAAAAAAGAUUCUUCCUUAAUGAAAGGAUUCUAGAAGGAAAUGAAUGCCAAGCCGGGGAUGUCAUUGUGUUAUAAAAAAGAUCAUUUUCAGAGGAGCACUGAUCUUGAGUGAGAUUGAUAAUCCUAUAAACUCGGAUCCAGUCAAGAAACACUUCGUUUAAAGAAGAAGAAAAGACCAAGGUAAAAGUCCGUAAAGGGCACUUUGAAAAAAAAAACUCUGUUGGGGCAAUGCCGUUCUCUUGGGCCUAUCGCGAUUUUGCCUAUUGAAGACGAGAUUCUUUCUGAGUUUUUGGACCCAAUCCCGAUCGAGGAGGAAUGUUCAAAGUUAUCCAUCACGGUCAAAUGCGCCAAAAGCAAAUGAUGUGAGCUCAAAAAAAGAGGGAGAAGAAGAAGAGAAUUCCAUGAGAGGACCUAGUAUCGAAGAAGAUCCUUCCCACACAAUAAGAACUUCAUGCCAAGAUGGGAAGAACCUUAUGUGGAAGGCCUUAUCUGGAAAAGCGUCAAUAUUGAUCGGAAAGGAUAACAAGGACAUGUCUAAUCCAAUGAGUUCAAAAAAAAAAAGGGAGAGGCCAGGGUGAAAACCCGCAAAGGGCACCUUGAGACCAAAGGGGAUUUGAGUUGAAAACCCGAAAAGGGCGGCUCAAACUUUUGAUCAUAAUGGGACAUUAAUUGACCAGAGCGACUCAAAUUUUGGAUCAAAUUGGGGGAUGAGGCGAUCAGAGCAGCUCAAAUUUUGAUCAGAUCGGGGCAUAUGGUGAUCUUGAUAUACCUGAAUUAGUAGGAAAGGGUAAGGCGACAUCUUGGGGCAUCGACAGAGUCCUGUAGAUCUCCUAAACACAUGUCAAACUCAGGAAAGUCUUCAGAAAGUUUGUACAAAGAAGUUCAAACUGCGAUAUCUGGGGCACCUAAGCUUCAUACUAUUUAUAUAUUGAAUUUGUUGUUGUUCUUGGAAUACUUCAUUCUUUUUCAAGAUACGUGUUCCAAUCAAUUCCUCUUUUAUUCUUGCUACCCUUGAUAAUUCAUUCAUUUCUAGCUUGCUCUCAAAUCAAUUCUAUUUCAUCCAUCGUUAUAUUAUUUUUUGCAAACAUGUUGCAUUGGAAUAAUGAUUAAUGGACUAAUAAAACUUUCACAAAGGAAGUUUUGCAUAUUACUCUGAAAAGUUUUUAAAUAAUAUUGGAACCUGAAACAGGAUUAUUGUUUAGAAAACACCAAGUUUAAAGGGUGAAAUAUCUAAGAAGGAAGAGUCUAAGUUAAAUGCUAUCUUUUCAGAUUUUGUUGUCCAAACAUUGAUUGAACAAAAUAACAAGAUGCCGUGUUGGUGACAAAGCUUCAAUGAACAAACAGGCAAUGAUCACUGAGUGAUAAGAAAAGGUUUUCUCGGAGAAGAAAAUUUUGCGAUUGUGCAUGAGCAUUUGGUAUGACACCUUGGGAAUGGGGUAAAAGAACCAAAAAACUUCACAUUUUGUAUCCUUGAAUUGCGAUAGGAGAAGAUUGAGAAAAGCCAUAUCUUUCUACCCUUAGGUUACAGUGGGAGAUUGAUGGUACAAAUUUUAUGUCCUAGUGGAUUGAACUUUGACGUUCACAGUGGGGGCAAUCAGAUUAAGUGUUUCUUUGGAUAUGCCAGCUGAGCAAGAAGGCGUUGUAGCACGUCAGCGAUAAAGCCUUAAUAAGCUUUUACGUGAUGAUAACCUAAGCAUUAAGGAAUCAUUUUCCUGACAUUUUGCAUUCAUUCAAAUGUCAUUCAUACACAUCUAAUUAGGAGCAUUUGAUUCAUUCUGAUCAUGUCAUCCUAAUCACUAGGCACAAUUAGGUUCAUAAAAUAGAACAUACAAGUCAUGUUCCCCAGAGAACAGAUCAAUGAAGUUACAGAUCUUGCCUUCCUGCAUUGACAGCGAAGCAGGUCGAAGACACAAACCUUGCCUCUCUCGGUUGUGAUGGAGCUGGUUGAAGACAAAAGAUCUUGCCUUCCUGUAUUGAUAGCGAAGCAGGUCGAAGACACAAACCUUGCCUCUCUCGGUUGUAUAGAGCUGGUUGAAGACAAAAGAUCUUGCCUUCCUGUAUUAACAACGAAGCAGGUCGAAGACACAAACCUUACCUCUCUCGGUUGUGAUGGAGCUGGUUGAAGACAAAAGAUUUUGCCUUCCUGUAUUGACAACGAAGCAUGUCGAAGACACAAACCUUGCUUCUCUCGGUUGUGAUGGAGCUGGUUGAAGACAAAAGAUCUUGCCUUCCUGGAUUGACAGCGAAGCAGGUCGAAGACACAAACCUUGCCUCUCUCGGUUGUGAUAGAGCUGGUUGAAGACAAAAGAUCUUGCCUUCCUGCAUUGACAGCGAAGCAGGUCGAAGACACAAACCUUGCCUCUCUCGGUUGUGAUGGAGCUGGUUGAAGACAAAAGAUCUUGCCUUCCUACAUUGACAGCGAAGCAGAUCGAAAACACAAGCCUUACCUCUCUCGGUUUAAGUGGAAAAGAUCAAAGAUAAUAGAUAUUACCUCUCUGUGAUUACAGUAGAGUACAUUGAAGCCGAUAAUUCUAUCUCCCUGGUUGGCAGUAGAAUAGAUUGAAGAUCAAAGAUUGCAGAUUCUGUCCCCCUAAGCAGUAGUGGAGCAGAUCAAAGAUGUGGAGCAGACUAAAACCACAAAUCUCAUCCCCUUGAAGUUACAACAUGAUAGAUUGAAGCUAUAACAGCGGAUCUUACUUUCUCAGCGUUGCAGUGGAACAGAUUGAAGCUUUAACAGCGGAUCUUAAUUCCCUAACAUUACAAUUAAAAGAUUGAAGCUAUAACAGCGGAUCUUAUUUUCCUAGCGUUGCAGUGGAACAGAUUGAAGCUACAACAGCGGAUCUUACUUCCCUGACAUUGCAAUUAAGAAGAUUGAAGCUACAACAGCGGAUCUUACUUUCCUAGCGUUGCAGUGGAACAGAUUGAAGCUACAACAGCGGAUCUUACUUCCCUGACAUUACAAUUAAAAAGAUCGAAGCUACAACGGCGAAUCUUACCUUUCAGGUGGUGCAGCAGAACAGAUUAAAGCUACGACAGCGAAUCUCACUUCCCCAGCAUUGCAAUUCAAAAGAACGAAGCCACAACGACGAAUCUUACUUCCCAGGCGAUGCAGUGGAACAGAUUGAAACUACGACGGCGAAUCUCCCUUCCUCGACAUUGCAAUUAAAAAGAUCGAAGCCACAACGGUGAAUCUUACUUCCCAGGCGAUGCAGCGGAACAGAUUGAAGCUACGAUGGCGAAUCUCACUUCCCUAACAUUGCAAUUAAAAGAUUGAAGCCACAACGGCGAAUCUUACUUCCAGGCGAUGCAGCGGAACAGAUUAAAACUAUGACGGCGAAUCUUGCUUCCUCGACAUUGCAGUUUCAAAGAUUGAAGCUACAACGGUGAAUCUUACCUUUCAGGCGGUGCAGCGGAACAGAUUGAAGCUACAACGGCGAAUCCUGCUUCCCCGACAUAGCAAUUUAAAAGAUUAAGGCUACAAUGACGAAUCUUACUCCCAGGCGAUGCGACGGAACAGAUUGAAGCUACGACGAUUGAAGCUACAAUGGCGAAUCUUGUUUCCCCCACAUUAUGGUUAAAUAGAUUGAGGCCACAACGACGAAUAUUACUUUCCCUGGCGGUGUAGUGGAAUAGAUUGAAGCUACGACAGCGAAUCUUACUUCCUCGACAUUGCAAUUAAACAUAUUAAAGAAGCCAAUCCUAUCUUCCUGAAGUUGUAGUGAAGUGGAUUAAAAUGAUGGAUCUUAUCUCUUUGAAGUUGCAGUAGAGCAGAUCACAUCAGACUUUAUUUUCUUAAAGAUGUAGUAAACCAAGUUGAAGCUACAGAUCUUAUCUCACUGAGGUUGCAGUGUAGCAGACUGAAAAUAGCAAAUGUUUCCUCGAAGAGCCACAGAUAUUAUCUCUCUGAAGUUACAGUAGAGCAGAUCGCAUCAAGUCUUAUCUCCCUAAACAGUAGUGGAGCAGACAGAAGAAAUCAAUCCUAUCUCCCUGACGUUAUAGUGGAGCGAAUUAAAAUGAUAGAUCAUAUCUCUCUAAAGUUGCAGUAGAGCAGAUUGCAUCGAACCUUAUUCCCCUUAAAGUUGUAGUUGAAGCUACAAGUCUUAUCUCCCUGAUGUUGUAGUGGAACAGACUGAAACUAUGAAUUUCGUCCCCCUGAAGUUGCUGCGAAGAAGACUGAAGCUACGAAUCAGAUUCUGUCACCCUAAGCAGUAGUGGAGCAGAUCGAAGAUGGUGAAUCUUAUAUUCCCAAUACAGUGGAGAAGUAGAUUUAAGCCAUUAGUCCUAUCACCCUAAGUAGUAGUAGAGUAGGUCAAAGACUGUAGAUUCUGUCCCCCUAAGCAGUAAUAGAGCAAAUCAACAAUAACAAAUCUUACCACGAAUCUCACCCCCUAAAGUUACAACAGAGUGGAUUGAAGCCACAAGUCAUAUUUCUUUUUGAAGUUGCAGUGGAGUGGAUCGACGCAACAAGACAUAGUGGACUGGAGUGAAGCUACUUGAAGAAGAAAGGCACCAAGAAGUCGAGACUCAGCAAGACCGGGCAAAAUUGGUCUUUCUUAGUAUUUGCUCUGUUCUCGUUACACGACAACGAGCAAAGAGGGGCAGCUGUACAAGCCCAUGUUGCCCGGCCUAUUACAAACCCAUCUUAAACAGACCCAAAAUAACCCAAACUCAAGCCACUUAAAACACACCCAAUACCCAACAGCCCAAUAGCCCAAAAUCAUCAAAAAAAAGAAAAAAACCCUAACCCUAGCCUCUGAUAGCCACUUGCGCAGCACCUAGGGCUUGCUGGUCAACCACCCCACCGCCGUAGCUACCAACUGCUCUGCCACUUGUGCCGCGCACGUCCCAUCGUCCUCCAUCAGCCCUACAAAAUGAAGAACACACGCAAGCAGCAACAAACAAUAAAAAAAUUUGUAAAAUGGCUCUAUAUAAAGCCAUUCGAACUUCAAAAUGGGGGUUUGAUCACUGAAUCGGGGGGCUUUUUCUUUUCUUUUGUAACAUUUUCAUAUAAAUAAAACAAUAAAAAAAACAGAUUCAAGGCUUUGAUAUCAGAUUCACAUUUCUUUUUUAUUUAUUUUAUUUUCUUUAUUUCGUACAUUAAAUAGAAAAUAAAAAGGGAAAGGGGACUCACCGGGAACCACCAUGGUUGCGCCGUCGGAGGGCUUCUCCUCCGUCGCCGAUUCGGGUCCGAGAGGGGUUGUGGGUUUCCCUCUUUCUCGCGGGUUGAGAGAUCUGAGAUCUCAAGGAUGCCACACGAUGAGGGUUAAAACCCCCUUUUUCUCGCAUGACUCCGGCCACCGUCCUUGGUGGCGCUGCGAUGGAGAUGCGGC
rnacentral:lncRNA from 1 species